GCACUGCUGAGGAGUCCCAUAAUGGGACGAGACGGUCGUCCAGUGC
rnacentral:hammerhead_ribozyme from 1 species